UAGCCACGCUCCUCCUCCUUCCGGGGACCAGGGGAAGUCCCGCCUCUGGGAGGAGCAGGGGGCGGAGCCGGCGGCGGGAGGGGGCAUCUUCCGGGAGCGCGUGCUGGGGGAGGAGCGGUCGCCGCGCGUUAGUCAGGGAUCGGUGCGGGUCCUGGUUCCAAUUGAGCCUGUGCCAAAUGUGCUCCUGCCACAUCAUCCCCACUUGAGAACACUGCUAUAGAGCUACAAGAUUAUAGGUAUUUGGUCUGCUGUUCAAAUUAUUGAAGGUGAAAUGUCGGAUCCAGCUCUGAGGAUUUGAACCGUAGACCAGAUCUCUGGAGAGGAGACAGAUGUUCAAAGACAAAUUUCAGGUACUCUGAUGCAGGUAUACCCCAAUAUAUAAUGACUACCAGUCACAAUCCAUAUUCAGAACCCCAGACUCCUCUUCCCUAUAGUGUCUAUAGGAGAUUCUCUAGAAAUUUCUCUGUCAGUUAAAGAAAACAGUGAAAUUUCUCUGUCUGUUUCUUUUCUAUCAGUUCCGUUAUUUCUUCGUCUCCUUGGUUGCCUAUCUCUGGAAUCCUCAUCUCCACUCUGUCGAAGGCGACAGCUGAUGUUUCUGCUGAUUGCUUUCUGCAUCCCGGGAACUCUGACUUAUAUAGUAUUUAUGCUGUGAGUGCUAUGAUAGAUUGUAGGACAGCACAGCUAAGGCAAGGCUUUCAUAUCUGAUAAGGAUUUAGAAACAGCUAUGGGAUAAACAAGGGAAUUGGCAACCCAGUGGGCAGCUUAUAAUUACUGAAAUGUGGACCGUCUUACAACUUCCAGACUCAUGCUUGUUGGUGACUGCAUUAAGCAUUACCUGUGUCUGUCAUAUUUGGUUCUUCUCUCCUUUUGGGCACUCAAGUUUUAGCCCCCGUGGCAGUCAGAUAAACCAUGAGACUAGUUCUGGUCAAUAGCUUGUGAAGGAAAACAGGAUAUGGGAGGUCCCAGGCAAAAUUUCCUUUGCAAGCCCCUACCUAUAUAAACAAUUUGAUCUAAAAGCGUAUUACAAAAUUCAUAGGGCUGUGGGAGGUAUUUAUCAAUGAAAGUUUAGAAUAAUGGUUAUAGAAGUAUGUAGGUAUUUGAUUAUUGCCCAAUCAUUUGCAGGUAAAGAUUUGUUUUGUAGUGUCCAGGAACCAUCUCUUUAUUUUUCAGUUCCAGAACUAUGUUUUCGCCUUUAUUGUCAAAUGCACCAUUUCUGGCAAAUUUAAUAUCUUGCACUGGGAGAAAAGGAUGGCAACACUGUUAUUACUUACAAUGCCAUGGCUCUUUGGAAGCUGUUUGUAUUGAAACAAUAUAGAGUUCCUUGCCUCUGCACUCCUCCAGUUCCAGGCGUUGAAUGCUGCUUAUAUCAUCAGUCCUGACACUGCAUUACCCAUUCUGCCAUUCCUGAAUCCUGGCUUCCAAUGAUUCCCUCAAAGGUUGUUACUAGGCUUUUGUUUUGUUUUGUUUUUGAUGAUGCUCACACGUCAUCUUCCCCAUGCAUGAAAAAAAAAUGUGAAUAAUCAUUCAUUUUUGGUCAUGUUAUGUGUCCUGUUUAGAAGGUUAUAGUGUAAGGGAAUAUAACACAACUUCUGGCCAUCUCUUCUCUUAAACUCCAUCGGGCUGUCAUCUCUGCAUUCCUAAAAUGCAAUCUCUUUCAAUGUUGUUUACAUCCCUGAAUUUCACAUGCUGACAAGGGCAGGGAGGGUAGGUGAGAGGCCCGUGGGCAGAGUGAGAAGAGCAGCCUCAUUCACACAACGAAUGUCUGGUCGCUCAUCUGGCAUGCUUAAGACAGACCUGAAAGAAUGUGCCAUCACCACAGCAACUGGAGGCAAGAGAAGACAUCAACUCCAGAGCCCAUUGGUGUUAAAGAGCAGUGAUGUAAGUAAACAUUUGCUCCAGAAGGACAGGCAAUCACCACAUCCUCCCACUCUCUGUCAUGUAAUGCUGAGCCUUCAUGAGAGGUGGCAUCAGCUCUGCGUGUCAGCAGCGGGAAGUCCACAGAAUAAAAGAUACCUGCUGUCACUCUCAGAUGCUGUAGACUAGAGGUGGUUUUACAAAUUAAACAUGGACAGGUGAGAGCUGACAUAAGGGCUCAAACAUGGUUUCAGCACAAGUGUUGGUAGGGGACAGAUGGUGGUUAAGAACAAAGGAUUUUGUCCAGCAUAAGUGAGGAUCACCCAAAAUGGACAUGUCAGUACCAUUCUGGAGGCCCAAUUCUGUGUGAUUCCACAAAAGAAGUAUCAUGCUGACCAGCAGGAGCAAUUAGGCUAAUCUUGAGUGGCAGUGUGGAGGCGGGUUGCUUGCUGAUCCGUAAGGGACGAGGAUUGUGAGCGAGAAAUAAGCUAGUUUGGUGUCAAGUCUAUAAGGCUUUUUGUUACCACAGGAAAACCUUGUCUGCCCUGACUGACACAGACCCCAUUCAUGGGUGUUUGCUCUUCAGCCACAGGCCAGGCUCCUUGCUUACCAGUUCUUAUGUCAGAAGGUGAACUGAGGAUUAUCCAAGUAAACACAUGUAUAGUAUUUAGAAAGGUAAAUGUUAGCUAUUACUUGCAGUUAUUACUAUCGGCAUUUGUUCUCAUGUUAGAGACUAACUUAUCAGUGAGAUAUCUUUCAGAAUAUUUCAUACAGGUCAGUCUCCAACUGUCAUCGAGAAUUUUUUCAUCUGACUAGAUCAAGACCUACCCUGUGUGUUCUCUUUUCUAGUUCUGUAACUGACUUUUUUUUUUUUAUAACAAUAGACAAUGAGAAAUCUUACUCCUACUAGUGAGAGAAUUCCAUCCUUCACUCUCAAGAGAACAAGCUUCCCUCAUGGUCCAGAUAGGACCACAAUAACUUAGUGUACAGAACAUAUAUUGAAAUCUGACUCAUCAGUCGUGGGGCCCAAAUUAAGCUUCACAACUCUUUAUAAUAACAACUACAAACAUUGGUUGAAUGUUUACUGUUUGCCAGGCAACAUUCUAAGUGCUUCCCGCAUAUUAACUCAUCUGUCAUCCUUAUGCAAACCUAUCCCGCAAAGCACGAUAGUUUAUGGUUACCUAUUAUGAGGAAGUGAGGUACAGAGAGGCUAAUUGCUUUGUCCAAAGUCAUGGAGCUACUCAGUUUGACCCACAAUUUCAAUGUGUGCAGUCUGCUUUCAGAGUCUAGGCUCUUAACGACUUCACUCUGUCUCUGUUUAUUCUGAUAACAUGCUAACUUGAUACACAUGACUUGUGGUUUUUUUUUUUUGGGGGGGGUUAUUUUUAAUAGCCAUGUUUCUAGAAAGAGUUGAAGAUCAGAGAUGAGGCCUAUGCCAUCAUCCUGUAGUCUUCUGGAUCUCAGGAUCAUGAUUCAGAAUUCUCAAGAACACACACACACACACACACACACACACACACACACACACACACUUCCUCAAGUGCACUUGGUAAAUAAUGAAGUUUUGCUGCCCGGCAGUGUUCAAGUCUUUAUUCAUUUAUUUAGGAGGUAUUUAUUGAGUGUCUACUGAGUGCCAAGCAUUGUUCUGGGUGCUAAGGCAGUGAACAAGACAGUCUCCGCCCUGAAGGAGCUGAGAAUCUCAGGGACACUUUAUAGCAUUCUAAUACGUUCCUAUAGCUCCUACCACCCAGGCUUCAGGAUGCCGUGCCACAAUUGAUCAUUUUCUUACAUUACCAGCAUCCUGUCUGUGCCUCUUGUUUGUAGUAAGUCAUUCAGUGUGAAGUAUGAGCCUCAAGUCAAAUUCUGCCAGUGGAACUGAUGAGAGGUGGCGAAUGACUCAAAUGGAGGAGAAGAGAGAUUUGCAAGCUGGAGUGGGUUUGUGGAAAGGACUUCAUGUGAGUCCAGAUCAAGAAGCAAAAUGAAAAGAAUGAAAUUCUUGGACGGUUCUGUUUACAAGUUAAAACCUACAACUUACCCCUAGAGGGCGCUCUUCACUUUGUUAUCUCUCAGAAGCCUUGCCUGGCAAUGGCUGCCAUUCAAAUGGAAAACAUCGCACUUAAUGUUUGUGAAUUGUGUAAGAAUAAUCAGAAGAACCCCACAAUGCUGGGCAGAUUUUUUACCCCUAACGCUUCUGUUGGUUGUGAUGUAAAGUCCUUGACUAAAUCAAAUGUAAACUGUAAGGAUUCAGCAAAUCCAGGUUGCCUGUGCAAAUAUCCAUAACAUGUAAUUCACUAUCAACAUUUUUAUUCUCAUAAAACAGACAAAGCACACAAUUAAGAAACUUUAUGCUUCUCUCAUGUUUUCACUUUCAUAGAAGCGAUUUCGCAUAUUGAUCACUUUCAUACCAUAUCUUUGUGAGAGGUUUUAUAGCACAAAGUCAAAUAGUUCAUUGGUUUCUUUUUUCUUCUUUUUUUUUUUUUCCAGAAUGAUAAAUAAUUGACCUUAUAAAAAUCCUGAUCAUUGAACUAAUUUCAUGGAGCUGGUCUAACAUAUCCCUAACUCUGAGGUUUUAUAAGUUUGCUUUCUUUUUUUUUUCAAUUAAAAAAAAUACUUAUUUAUUUUUGAGAGAGACACACAGAGUGUGAGUGGGAAGGGGCAGAGAGCUAGGGAGACACAGAUUCUGAAGCA